rnacentral:rRNA from 1 species
UGGGGAAUAUUGGACAAUGGGCGCAAGCCUGAUCCAGCAAUGCCGCGUGAGUGAUGAAGGCCUUCGGGUUGUAAAGCUCUUUUACCUGCGACGAUGAUGACGGUAGCAGGAGAAUAAGCCCCGGCUAACUUCGUGCCAGCAGCCGCGGUAAUACGAAGGGGGCUAGCGUUGUUCGGAAUUACUGGGCGUAAAGGGCGCGUAGGCGGCCCUGUCAGUCAAGCGUGAAAGCCCCGGGCUCAACCUGGGAAUUGCGCCUGAUACUGCAGGGCUUGAGGGUCGGAGAGGAUGGUGGAAUUCCCAGUGUAGAGGUGAAAUUCGUAGAUAUUGGGAAGAACACCGGUGGCGAAGGCGGCCAUCUGGACGACAUCUGACGCUGAGGCGCGAAAGCGCGGGGAGCAAACAG